rnacentral:rRNA from 1 species
CUACGGGGUGCACCAGUGGGGAACAUUGCACAAUGGGCGCAAGCCUGAUGCAGCCAUGCCGCGUGUAUGAAGAAGGCCUUCGGGUUGUAAAGUACUUUCAGCGGGGAGGAAGGUGUUGUGGUUAAUAACCACAGCAAUUGACGUUACCCGCAGAAGAAGCACCGGUUAACUCCGUGCCAGCAGCCGCGGUAAUACGGAGGGUGCAAGCGUUAAUCGGAAUUACUGGGCGUAAAGCGCACGCAGGCGGUCUGUCAAGUCGGAUGUGAAAUCCCCGGGCUCAACCUGGGAACUGCAUUCGAAACUGGCAGGCUGGAGUCUUGUAGAGGGGGGUAGAAUUCCAGGUGUAGCGGUGAAAUGUGUAGAGAUCUGGAGGAAUACCGGUGGCGAAGGCGGCCCCCUGGACAAAGACUGACGCUCAGGUGCGAAAGCGUGGGGAGCAAACAGGAUUAGAUACCCUUGUAGUC